rnacentral:rRNA from 1 species
AGCCAAACUUCGGUUAGGCGAGUAAAGUGGCGCACGGGUGAGUAACGCGUAGGUAACCUGCCCCUGUGUUCGGGAUAACAGUGCGAAAGCGCUGCUAAUACCGGAUGUGGCCGGGAUGCGGUGGCAUUUUGGUCAAAGUCGGCCUCUCAAAGAAGCUGACGCGCGGGGAGGGGCCUGCGUCCUAUCAGCUAGUUGGCAGGGUAACGGCCUACCAAGGCUACGACGGGUAGCUGGUCUGAGAGGAUGAUCAGCCACACUGGCACUGGAACACGGGCCAGACUCCUACGGGAGGCAGCAGUGAGGAAUUUUGCGCAAUGGCCGCAAGGCUGACGCAGCAACGCCGCGUGGGUGAAGAAGGCCUUCGGG